ensembl:lncRNA
GUGAGUCUUUCCAUAUGUCUCGCAUGAAAAUUGAAAAUGACCCUUUAAUGUAGUCCAGAAUCCCCACGGAACAUUUUUAUUGUUUCAAAAGAGAAAAGGAAAAACGUAAACUAGGUCGAACGUCACGGGGUUUCUAAUCCAAAUGAACAAAGCAGGAGAACUCACCCCCAAAAUUAAGUCAAGAACCCAUCUCAGUGGGAAACAGGUGGGGCUGUGCGUCCAAGUGGACCUUUAAUAAGCACAAGCUGAUGAGGGUGGUGGUAGUAACAGGGAUUUUGAAACUGUUGAAUUGGAGGAGAGAGGCUGCCAAACUCCUGAGAGAUCCUUUAAAAUAAUUCUCAGUAUUUACUAUGGGAUUUGACACAUACAGUGCAAAACAGUUGGGGAAGAUAAUGAACAAGCCAUUCCCUCCCAGGACUGGCUCUACACACUCCACAGUGGAGUAGCUAACAGUGUUCCCUCGUGCCCUGUCCCUCAAUACAGCCCCUCCCACAGAUAAAUGAAAUUCCACUGUUAGAGAUUCUUUCCUUUGGAUUAAACAUUAUUAGUCAAUCAUGGGUAGAGAACAGAUUUCUUCCAGAUCUCCAGAAGACUAACAGUUCCAUUUUAUUUCCAUCCUAUUGUGGUGCUUCUGCAGGAGAGUAUGGAGGUAUAUUUAGUUUCAGAAUGCCUCAGAAUUCUAAAGUCAAAAGGAACCUUGGAAGCGAAGGAGGCCAAGUGUCUUCACCUGGGAGGGAGCUGAGGGCCAGAGAGGACAGAUGUGUGAGGCGGGCUUUGGCCCCUACCCCGUGGUCAGUCUCCCCUGAACCUUGGCAGAGGCGGUUUUCCAAAGCCUACACAUGGUUGCUUCUCUAGUCCACAGUCUUUCUAGGUUGACACGACAGUCCAGCCAAACACAAGGGCUUUGCGUUCCAGACAAGAAGUCGGUCCCACAGAGCUCCGCGAUCAAGGCAAGAAGCCAGCUCCCACUUCCUCCAUCUGGGAGCUGAAAAUGCUGCUUAUGUUCCUUGCAGAAAUCAAAGUGUGAACCCCCAUUCCCUACCACAACCCGUGGGAUGUAUAUGAACAGCCCCAGUGGGCAGCCAUAGCAACCAUUAGCUUAAAACCUGUUGAAACAGAGAAGUUGAAUUGGGAAGGAAAAGCAAAUCCCGUCCAGGCAUCCUGUUCUUGGGUGAAGAGAAGCAAAAGAGUUGAAGAAAACCUGAAGGUAAACCUCAGGGCAUCAUCCCACCUGGAUAGAGAGAUGAACCGGGCGCGGUGCUGUCAAGUCUUCUCCCUGGACCGCUGCUUCUGCCCACAUAACCAGCCUUCUUGGCAGAUUCCAGGGCUCUCCCUGCCAAAAGCCCUGAAGAAAUGAAGUCAGAAAACGAUCGUCAAACUCUGUGAUUCAGAGGUCACCCGCACAUCAUACCAAAACCAGCUAAAGCCACCCCAGAUCCAUAUCCAUGUCUCCCUUCUUCAGACCCAAAGGAGCCUGCAGCUUUCUUCAUUCACUUCUUAUCCUUAACAAGCCACCUGCAUAGGAAGUGCACGUGUAACCUGCAGGAUGGACCAAAGCACAAAGGGCCAUGCUGUAGAGGUUGCCUUUCAACACUUCAGCCAGAGCUGCCACAGAAAGUAGCAGUCACGGGGUUGUUAUAAUCUCUGUAUUAGUUUCUUAUUGCUGCUGUAACAAAUCACUCCAAACGUAGUUGCUUCAAACAACCCAAAUUUAUUAUCUCAAGUCACAAUUUCAGGUAGGCUCAAUUGGUUCUUCUGCUCCAAGUCUCCUGAGGCCAAAGUCAAGGUGUUGGCCAACUUGGGUUCUCAACUGGAGACCCAGGACGAAUCCACUCAGGCUCACUCAGUUGUUGGCAGAGUUCAGUCCCUUGCACCUAUCAGGCUGAGGUCCCCACCUCCCUACUGGCCAUCAGCUGGGGGCUGCUCUGCGCUCUUUAGGGCCAUCGGCACUUCCUGGCAUACUCCCCAGUGGACUGAAUCGGGCUCAAGUGUCCCUCGUGGGAGACACCAGGGGAUGAGCCACCACAAGCCGAGCAAGGCCCAUUUCCUGCCUUCAGGCAGCUCAGAUGGAGAGGGGAGCAGGUAAAGGCCACAGCUGGAGGAGGCACCCACAAAGGCAGAUGAAAAGAACAUGCAAUUCCCCUCUUUCAACAAAUCGAUUUAAUUUAAAGCACAAGCCCCCAUUCCCUUUCUUCCUAGCUGUCCUACUGUGUUUUUGUAGGGAAAGGAAGGAGAAGGCUUAUGAGACACAGACUCUGGGAAGAGGCAUCAUCUGCCUGUGCCGAGUCCCCUGGGAGAGUUCCACACCCAUGUCAGGCCCUGAGGCUUCCUGCUGCAUCAUUCUCACUCCUUCCCAAGGGCCUCUUUUGAGUUUGUAUUGGUUUUGAGUUCCUCCAAAAUCAGGUCGAUCGUUUAUUUGGAGGUGAUACCCACAGUAGUAGGGGAUACAGCAGUGAGACAGGGAAGGGAAAGAAGCUGCCACAGAGCGUGUUAUCACAGUACCCGGUGGGCAAGUGGCAUUCAGUCUUGCCAGGAACUCUGAGAAAGUGGAGAAUGAGUACAUGUGAGGGGCGAGAGAGCUGGGGUAUUGAUCCAUCGGCUCUAUCAGUGCUGACAUCAGGGCUGCUGUGGUCUCAUUUUCCAAGCACACUGGCCUACCAUUGUGCAUGGGCAGAGCAACCAGGGGAAUCCCUCUGGCAAGGAGACGCAGGGGCUGGCAGCUGGUAGACCAGCAGGCAAGGAGAAGGUGCAGUCCAAGAGCUACAGGGGCCAGGGAACACUGACCACUUCUGCUGCAACGCCUGUGUCUGUGUAUCCCGCAUCUGUCCGUGCCAGGCCAGGAGACUGGAAGCUCACUCUAUAAGACUAAGGCCCUUUCUGCCCAGACCCGUCCUGUAGCUGGUUUGCCACUAGACUCUCCCCUCAAGCUCAGAGGCCCUCUGCUCUCAGAUCCAACAAAGCUGCCUGGUUUCCCACCUACCACGGGGCAAGGGCACCACCCCUUCUCAAGGCUCCAUCAGUGUCUACACUCCCCAUCUUCUUCACCUCUCCCUCUGCCCUCCCCACAGCUGGUCUGAGGACCUGCCGUCUCACCUCAGGGAUGGGAAGAGGUCCUCUUCCACCAACACGCGGUGACCUGAAGCUAUCGAUUUUUUGCCAGGGACCUCCCCAUUCCCCACAGGGCUCGGGAAGUCACCCUGUUCACUCAUCACCCUGGUCAACAGCCGUCCUUCUCUUGCAAGGGUAAGCCUGGGAAGAGGGUACUACAACGAAAACCCUUUAAAGGAUUAUCUUAUCUUACAGACACACACUCCAGCAGCCAGAAUCCAAAGCAAAUAAAACAUGUGCCAUCCUGAAGUCCUUUCACAGGAGAGAGGAAUCCCACUGAGGCAAGCAAGGAAAGCAGUGUAAAAGAGGUGGGAACAUGUGCUGUGGGCCUGGAGAGACGAGUGGGCGUCCAGCCAGUGGAGGGGAGGUAUAAAUCAAGGCAGCUGCCUGGGAAGCCCAAACAGGGCAGGAGAGGAGGAGAUGGUCUGUGCACCCGAGAGUGUCAAGCCAAGGUGGGCCUUCCCUGAAUGACAGCAGGGCGGCAGCCAUGGAAUAUUUGCGAGAAAAGCAGUGACCUGAUGAGAUGUAGUGAAGUCAGUAGGAAAACAGCAUAGUGAAUGUGAAAUGGCCUUAGAUUUAAGAUUUGACUCUGGCUUCAAGAAUCUGUGUGUGGAAAGAGAGAAGGUGCAGGGAAGGCAGGAGAGAGGAGAGGGGAAGAAGGCAGAGAGAGAUGGAGAGAGGAGAAAGAAAGCCAGGGAGAGGUGUCCUGAAGACAGAAAAGAGAAGAGAAAGAAAUGUGAGUGAUCAACCAAGCCAGGGAGGGUUUUGAAGUCGGACCAUUCAUCAAGUUUGGGCCUUUCGGUGGGAAAGGGGAGGUGAGGCUUGCCCAGCUAACCAAGGCCCUGUCUGCAGGUGUGAAACCCUCCCUGAGCUCCCCUCUGGCCAGGACGCCAGGUGAGCCCUGGGGAGCCCAGGCCACUUGGGUGAGUGGCUCUUAUGGAAAGAAGGCAAGAGAUUGUAAAGAGCAGGACCAUAUCUGCUGUUCGAAAUGCAUUUCAUUGCCCAGGUGGGACUGACAGCCCUGGGGAUGCCCUGGAGCAGAGAAAUUGUCAGAGGGGAAGGUGCUAGAAGGUGAUAAUUGCUGGGCACAUGGAAUCUGAAUCCACCCCAGCGCCAGCUUCUGGGCUUCAACCAACACAGUCAGCUUCGGAAAGAAUUAGGUCUGAGUUCGCUGGUUGUUCACACUCAGAAACGGAAGCGGAAAAACUUUCAUACAUCUGGUUCUCCCGGCACAAAACCCCCACCCUGUGCGCCGGGAGGCCGUUUAGUAAUGUUAUGGCUCCAUCUACAGCCUGCGGAAGGAUGCUCGCCGCCAGGCUUCCACAAACAGCCGGCCGGCACUGCAAUUAAUGCUAAUUAAAGCCCUUGCCCCCGUCUGCGCCUUUAUCCAACGCAGACUUGGAACUUCGCUGGAAGUUGUUUCAGGCUGAGUCUACAACAGCAGCUGUUCAGAUUAUUCCAGAACCCUUUCAGCCAAAAUUGGUUGGGAGUUUCUAUUUUAAACCCCCGAUUGUUAUGAAUUGCGUUAAAUGUCUUUUUUUCCCCACUCCCUCCACCAGGUUUUAACAAUGGAACAAAGAUGAAAACCCUCAAAAUAGCAAGAUGGCCUUUUCUUUCAUUCAUUCAAGGGAACACUCAGCACCUUCUUUGAGUCAGGUUCCAUGGUAAAGCACAGAGGUAGGUGAGGUAUGAAAACAUCCCGUAACUGACCCAUAAGAACUUUUGAUACUUCCUCUUGUUGGCUGGAACGUUUCCACAUAGGUCAAAAAGAGGAAAGGAGAAAGUCCCAGGUCGCCAGUGGUUGUAGAGCUUGGAACAACCUCCAUAUACAGAGAACAUAAAGUCCUUUGACUCAGGACAAAAUGGAAGCUGAAAGUUCCUUAAAGAGGCUGCCUAAUUGACACUCUCAUCAGUCACCAAUAAAAGGGAAGGCGUGGCAGAAGACUCGAGGAUGUCAGAAAGAAGCACAACCUGAGUAGAGGUGAGGCAGAGACCAGGGUUGCCCAAGGUCAUGGCAAGAGACGAGGUGGAGGGAGCCCUCCCUUUCUGACUGCUGGCUCAGUGGUCAGUCCACGCUGACCAAAAGAGGCUGCUUGUACUAUGCAAGUAAAAUAUGAACGCCCAGGUUGUUGGGGAGCAAGAAGACACUCCGAAUACGAGGUGGAAAGGGGGAGCCGGGAGCAGGAGAAACCGGACUUCCCUUUUAUGUGUUGCUUCAUGCCUCUGCUGGUGAACAGCAGGAGGAGAGAGAAAUGGCUGACUCCAAACCCACAGUUCCUGCCCUGGAGGUUUGUUUUGAUGUCUGAGGCGAAGAGAUCUUCCCAGGAGGAGGCCGAGGGAACACUCAGGCGAAAUGGCACCCUACCCUCAUGUCAACAGCCUCUCGAUUUAGCUGAUGACCGUUUUUGUCUCAUCCAAGAAAACUUCAGAGUCGGUCUAUGCACCCACUCUCCCAACCCACCCAGCCAGCCAGGAUGCUCUUCUGGAGCUAGCCCAGCUGACAGAAUCAGAGCAAACCACCCCCUGGAGGACACUCCGGAGGUCAUCGCAGCCAGCCCCCUGCCUCCAGGCAGGUCUCCCAUAAAUCGUCCUCGACAGAGACUGCCUCGUUGGAGGCCCUUUGCUCGGAGCACCCUGAGCAGCUGAGUAAAGUUUUGUGCUGACUCCGUAGAGCCCCAUCGGUGGCAGCACCCGCCGCCAGCUCAUAAGGGAAUCAUUAGUGAAACGCAGCCCUGUGCGAGGGCCCGAAGGCCUGUGGCAAUUAAUCACCUCUCCUCCCUGGCAGCCCCAGCUGUCUCAGAUGCAGCCAUCCUCCAGGUAGCCCUUUAAUUGUCCCUGGAGAAGGCAGAUGGGUGAGGGGCCACCUGAGCUCACGUUAGCCCAGCAAUCUUCCCAAAUAAAAAGAAAUAUAUAUAUAUAUUUUAGAGUAUUCAAAUAUCUCUUACUUACUUUCCCGAGUCUGUUAUUGAUAUAAAGGUUGAAGCUCAGGCAGCUUAACUGUUAUGUGGAAUGACCUUUAGUUUUAAUAUUAAUAUAUUACCGUAAAGUCUAUGCGAAUCAUGAAUGCAAUUUUGGUAUUCAUAGAAAAUGCCAUACGCUGAACCCAUUGCAACUUUCUUUCCCCCCGCUCUCGUCCUCCAGUAGGCUGCAAACUGGGCGAAUUAAUAUGCGUCAUCUUCUUCUCCCCUUUAUUUACUUAGAGAGGGUGGCCGGGCAACUUUAUCAAGAGUAACAUUAUCAAGAGCUUUCCUGCAAGCUUCUUUAUCAUAUUCACAUCCGAGUCUGCUCGACACUUGUCAGUGUCAAUCAAAUCGCAAUAAUACGCAGAUGAUUUGCUCAUUUGGUUUAAUAAAAUCUUUCUGCUUAUUUGCGGUGCCUCCAUUACACCACAUAAUUGCUGUGCCGCGGAGGUGAAAGGCAGCCAGUUGCCUGGGGGAUAAGAGGAGACGAUUGCUAUAUGAAGGAUUUGUUUCUUUGCCUCUGUCUCUCCCCAGUCACUCAUAUUCCUAAAAUUAAUAUUGUAUUUGAAUCCAGCCCUGCUAUUCUUAUGCAGCCUAAC